AACCCAUGUUGGGGACAUUUUCGCAGGAGCUCAUGGAAGCUAUCACAUGUCUCGAAAAGAGACUCCAAUUUCAUUUGCACAAAAGAAGAUAUGUCAUUCCUAAGCUU